rnacentral:rRNA from 1 species
UACAGAGGUGGCAAGCGUUGUUCGGAAUUACUGGGCGUAAAGGGCGCGUAGGCGGCCUUCUAAGUCAGACGUGAAAUCCCCCGGCUUAACCUGGGAACUGCGUCUGAUACUGGGAGGCUAGAGUAUGGGAGAGGGAUGUAGAAUUCCAGGUGUAGCGGUGAAAUGCGCAGAUAUCAGGAGGAACACCAAUGGCGAAGGCAGCUCGCUGGGACGGUACUGACGCUGAGGCGCGAAAGCGUGGGGAGCAAACAGG